UGUAGCUCAAUUGGUAGAGCAUGGCACUUACAAUGCCACGAUAGUGGGUUCAAUUCCCGGGACCA
rnacentral:tRNA from 1 species